GACGAACGCUGGCGGCGUGCUUAACACAUGCAAGUCGAGCGGUAAGGCCCUUUCGGGGGUACGACGAGCGGCGAACGGGUGAGUAACACGUGGGUGACCUGCCCUCAGCUCUGGGAUAAGCCUGGGAAACCGGGUCUAAUACCGGAUAUGACUCCAUGACGCAUGUUGUGGGGUGGAAAGCCUUGUGCGGCUGAGGAUGGGCCCGCGGCCUAUCAGCUUGUUGGUGGGGUGAUGGCCUACCAAGGCGACGACGGGUAGCCGGCCUGAGAGGGCGACCGGCCACACUGGGACUGAGACACGGCCCAGACU
rnacentral:rRNA from 1 species